CCACGCCGUAAACGAUGUCUACUUGGAGGUUGUGCCCUUGAGGCGUGGCUUCCGGAGCUAACGCGUUAAGUAGACCGCCUGGGGAGUACGGCCGCAAGGUUAAAACUCAAAUGAAUUGACGGGGGCCCGCACAAGCGGUGGAGCAUGUGGUUUAAUUCGAUGCAACGCGAAGAACCUUACCUGGUCUUGACAUCCACGGAAGUUUUCAGAGAUGAGAAUGUGCCUUCGGGAACCGUGAGACAGGUGCUGCAUGGCUGUCGUCAGCUCGUGUUGUGAAAUGUUGGGUUAAGUCCCGCAACGAGCGCAACCCUUAUCCUUUGUUGCCAGCGGUUAGGCCGGGAACUCAAAGGAGACUGCCAGUGAUAAACUGGAGGAAGGUGGGGAUGACGUCAAGUCAUCAUGGCCCUUACGACCAGGGCUACACACGUGCUACAAUGGCGCAUACAAAGAGAAGCGACCUCGCGAGAGCAAGCGGACCUCAUAAAGUGCGUCGUAGUCCGGAUUGGAGUCUGCAACUCGACUCCAUGAAGUCGGAAUCGCUAGUAAUCGUGGAUCAGAAUGCCACGGUGAAUACGUUCCCGGGCCUUGUACACACCGCCCGUCACACCAUGGGAGUGGGUUGCAAAAGAAGUAGGUAGCUUAACCUUCGGGAGGGCGCUUACCACUUUGUGAUUCAUGACUGGGGUGAAGUCGUAACAAGGUAACCGUAGGGGAACCUGC
rnacentral:rRNA from 1 species